rnacentral:rRNA from 1 species
UACGGAGGGUGCGAGCGUUGUCCGGAAUCACUGGGCGUAAAGCGCACGUAGGCGGCUCGGCAAGCAUGGCGUGAAAGCCCCCGGCUCAACCGGGGAGAGUCGUCGUGGACUGCCGAGCUUGAGGGCGGCAGGGGUUGGUGGAAUUCCCGGUGUAGUGGUGAAAUGCGUAGAGAUCGGGAGGAACACCCGUGGCGAAGGCGGCCAACUGGGCCGGCCCUGACGCUGAGGCGCGAAGGCGUGGGGAGCGAACGGG